GAGGGCAUAGCUCAAUAGUAGAGUACGUGCUUAGCAUGCAUGAGGUCCUGAGUUCAAGCCCCAGUAUCUCCA
rnacentral:tRNA from 1 species